rnacentral:rRNA from 1 species
UUGUUGGGUAGGGGAGCGUUCUGUAAGCCUGUGAAGGUGGCCUGUGAGGGUUGCUGGAGGUAUCAGAAGUGCGAAUGCUGACAUAAGUAACGAUAAAGCGGGUGAAAAGCCCGCUCGCCGGAAGACCAAGGGUUCCUGUCCAACGUUAAUCGGGGCAGGGUGAGUCGACCCCUAAGGCGAGGCCGAAAGGCGUAGUCGAUGGGAAACGGGUUAAUAUUCCCGUACUUGGUGUUACUGCGAAGGGGGGACGGAGAAGGCUAUGUUGGCCGGGCGACGGUUGUCCCGGUUUAAGCGUGUAGGUGUGUGUUCCAGGUAAAUCCGGUUCACUUUAACACUGAGGCGUGAUGACGAGGCACUACGGUGCUGAAGUAACAAAUGCCCUGCUUCCAGGAAAAGCCUCUAAGCAUCAGGUAACAUCAAAUCGUACCCCAAACCGACACAGGUGGUCAGGUAGAGAAUACCAAGGCGCUUGAGAGAACUCGGGUGAAGGAACUAGGCAAAAUGGUGCCGUAACUUCGGGAGAAGGCACGCUGACACGUAGGUGAAGUGAUUUACUCAUGGAGCUGAAGUCAGUCGAAGAUACCAGCUGGCUGCAACUGUUUAUUAAAAACACAGCACUGUGCAAACACGAAAGUGGACGUAUACGGUGUGACGCCUGCCCGGUGCCGGAAGGUUAAUUGAUGGGGUCAGCGCAAGCGAAGCUCCUGAUCGAAGCCCCGGUAAACGGCGGCCGUAACUAUAACGGUCCUAAGGUAGCGAAAUUCCUUGUCGGGUAAGUUCCGACCUGCACGAAUGGCGUAAUGAUGGCCAGGCUGUCUCCACCCGAGACUCAGUGAAAUUGAACUCGCUGUGAAGAUGCAGUGUACCCGCGGCAAGACGGAAAGACCCCGUGAACCUUUACUAUAGCUUGACACUGAACAUUGAGCCUUGAUGUGUAGGAUAGGUGGGAGGCUUUGAAGUGUGGACGCCAGUCUGCAUGGAGCCGACCUUGAAAUACCACCCUUUAAUGUUUGAUGUUCUAACGUGGACCCGUUACCCGGGUUGCGGACAGUGUCUGGUGGGUAGUUUGACUGGGGCGGUCUCCUCCUAAAGAGUAACGGAGGAGCACGAAGGUUGGCUAAUCCUGGUCGGACAUCAGGAGGUUAGUGCAAUGGCAUAAGCCAGCUUGACUGCGAGCGUGACGGCGCGAGCAGGUGCGAAAGCAGGUCAUAGUGAUCCGGUGGUUCUGAAUGGAAGGGCCAUCGCUCAACGGAUAAAAGGUACUCCGGGGAUAACAGGCUGAUACCGCCCAAGAGUUCAUAUCGACGGCGGUGUUUGGCACCUCGAUGUCGGCUCAUCACAUCCUGGGGCUGAAGUAGGUCCCAAGGGUAUGGCUGUUCGCCAUUUAAAGUGGUACGCGAGCUGGGUUUAGAACGUCGUGAGACAGUUCGGUCCCUAUCUGCCGUGGGCGCUGGAGAACUGAGGGGGGCUGCUCCUAGUACGAGAGGACCGGAGUGGACGCAUCACUGGUGUUCGGGUUGUCAUGCCAAUGGCACUGCCCGGUAGCUAAAUGCGGAAGAGAUAAGUGCUGAAAGCAUCUAAGCACGAAACUUGCCCCGAGAUGAGUUCU